GAUGAACGCUGGCGGCGUGCUUAACACAUGCAAGUCGAACGAGUGGCGAACGGGUGAGUAACAAGUGGGUGAUCUGCCUUGUACUGCGGGAUAAGCAUGGGAAACUGGGUAUAAUACCGGAGAGUUCGAGAUUAUCCCGCGGCCUAUCAGCUUGUUGGGGUGGUAAUGGCGACCAAGGCGCGACGGGUAGCCGGCCUGAGAGGGUGUUCGGCCACAUUGUGCCUGGUACACGGCCCAGACUCCUACGGGAGGCAGCAGUGGGGAAUAUUGCACAAUGGUCGGAAGCCUGAUGCAGCGACGCCGCGUUAGGGAUGACGGCCUUCAGGUUGUAAACCUCUUUCGCUAGGGAAGCGGUACCUGGAUAAGAAGCACCGGCUAACUACGUGCCAGCAGCCGCGGUAAUAC
rnacentral:rRNA from 1 species